AGAGUUUGAUCCUGGCUCAGGAUGAACGCUAGCGGCAGGCUUAAUACAUGCAAGUCGAACGGGAUUCGGGGUAGCAAUACUUUGAUGAGAGUGGCGCACGGGUGCGUAACGCGUAUGCAACCUACCUUUAACAGGGGAAUAGCCCCGAGAAAUCGGGAUUAAUACUCCGUAACAUUGCGGUGUGGCAUCACACUGCACUUAAAGCUGAGGCGGUUAAAGAUGGGCAUGCGUGACAUUAGCUAGUUGGUGAGGUAACGGCUCACCAAGGCAACGAUGUCUAGGGGUCCUGAGAGGGUUAUCCCCCACACUGGUACUGAGACACGGACCAGACUCCUACGGGAGGCAGCAGUAAGGAAUAUUGGUCAAUGGGCGCAAGCCUGAACCAGCCAUGCCGCGUGCAGGAAGACGGCCCUAUGGGUUGUAAACUGCUUUUGUCAGGGAAUAAACCCCCGCUCGUGAGCGGGGCUGAAGGUACCUGAAGAAUAAGCAUCGGCUAACUCCGUGCCAGCAGCCGCGGUAAUACGGAGGAUGCAAGCGUUAUCCGGAUUCAUUGGGUUUAAAGGGUGCGCAGGCGGAUUGGUAAGUCAGGGGUGAAAUCCCACAGCUCAACUGUGGAACUGCCUUUGAUACUGUCAGUCUAGAGUAUAGUUGAAGUUGGCGGAAUGUGUCAUGUAGCGGUGAAAUGCUUAGAUAUGACACAGAACACCGAUCGCGAAGGCAGCUAGCUAAGCUAUAACUGACGCUCAUGCACGAAAGCGUGGGGAUCAAACAGGAUUAGAUACCCUGGGUAGUCCACGCUGUAAACGAUGAUUACUCGGAUGUUGGCGAUACACAGUCAGCGUCUGAGCGAAAGCAAUAAGUAAUCCACCU
rnacentral:rRNA from 1 species